GAUCCGCAGAUACCAGAAAAGAACCAAGAGUUCCUUAAUUACCGGCUGGAUAAUGGGAACACGGCCUCUCCUAGAGUGAAUGUUUUGCUUCUUGCCUCCUCCACCACCUCCCCUUCCCCAACAACACUGGAAGCAGUUAUUCCUCUGUGCUAUUUCCAGAGUCCCGGGCCUAGCGGAGGAAAAGGGAGGGGCCCUGGUGGAAAGACGGAGGGAGACGCGUUGAGCUCCUCCCCCUGCCCAGCUGCAGUUCCAGAGUUUCGCCACUCUGGGUCUCCCGAGCUCAACCACAGCCCCAGAGUAAGAAAGGAAGAGAGAGAACCUCCAGAGGACAGCGUGAGACGUCAUUGACAACCCUGCUCAGAGAGGUGACCUGGAGGUCAUCUGCUCUGAAGCUGCAGACCCUUCGCAUGGCCGUUGGGAAGGCAUCCAGCCUCAACCCUUCUCUCUAAAAAGGAUUUGUGGCGCUGGGAACUAGCUCCCCACCUCUUACCCUCACCCUCUUCUCUGUGGUCAUUUCCUCCCCCGCGUGUUUCCUUCCCUUCUCGCUGUCCUCUGGGUGGGAGCACCACCACUAUCUCCCCCCAACCCCCCAGCCUGUCAGAGUCCUGAGGAAUGCUCUCACCCUGGCUGGGUGCCAGGCUGUGGACUUCCUGGGCUUUGGGGGUGGGGCUUGGCGGAGGGGAAGCCCUUUGGAGAGAGAGAGCCAUCCAGUCCGGCACUGCCUGCGUGCUCUCCCUCCCCUUCAUGAGCUCGGGCUCGUUCGCUCACACGCCCUCUCUCCCUCCCUCCCCCCCCCCCCCCCCCCCCCCAGCUAAGUAAAAGGCUCAUCUAAUCUAUCAUUCUCUGUCACCACCACCUAAUUUCUCCCCCUACAAUAGCAUUUCCUUGCCAGGGCAAAACAUCCACAAUCUGGAGGCGAUGGGCAUGCUAAAUAUGUGGUUUACAGUGAGAGAGAGGGAAAACACCUAUUUCAGAACCUGCCUUCCUGUGCCAGGAGCCUGUAGCUGGAAGGAGAGGUUCACCUGCCAGGGUCCUGAGGCUCAAGGACAGACAACAGGUCGUUGCCAGACCUGGACCUGGAAGAGAAAACCACCAGUAGGCUCCAGCAGCAAUAUAGCAAAGGUUGGACAAGAUGGCUUUGGCAUAGCAUGUGCUGGCUGCCACCACCCCCAACCCGGGAGGAAGUCCCCCAUGCCAGAAAGAGGAUGAUCUGAGACCUAGUCUUCCACUGCCAAGGACAGCCCAUGUACCUCCUGGAUCCUGUGAUGUGAGUGGGAUCCUGGGCUCUGGAAGGAGAAUCCUCCUUCCAGUUCCCCAAAGCAUCUACUGCAGAAGCAUUGGCCUAGGAUGGUGGAUGACUCUCGAAGGACUAUACUUAGAAGUACACAUUGCUCAAGCAGGUAAAUGGAGAAGUGGGAUGUUAUUCCUAAGUAGUUUGUACACAAUUUCUUUAGAGGUCUUCCCCACUCUCAUUGAACUAAUCCAUUCUUUUUCAUUUUUUUAAUUAAAAU